GCUGGGUGUAGUGGUGCAUGCCUGUGAUCCUGGUGACUUGGGAGGCUGAGGCAAGAGGAUCACAAGUUUGAGGCCAGCCUUAGUAACUUAGUGAGACCCUAAGCAACUUAGCAAGACCUUGUCUCAA
rnacentral:sRNA from 1 species